rnacentral:rRNA from 1 species
GACGAACGCUGGCGGCGCGCUUAACACAUGCAAGUCGAACGGAAAGGCCUGCUUUCCCUUGUGGAUUGCGGGUACUCGAGUGGCGAACGGGUGAGUAACACGUGAGUGAUCUGCCCCCAACUUGGGUAUAAGCCUGGGAAACUGGGUCUAAUUCCCGAUAGGACUGCAGGGUGGUGCCUGUGGUGGAAAACGAUUUUCUAGUGGUUGGGGAUGAGCUCGCGGCCUAUCAGCUUGUUGGUGGGGUAAUGGCCUACCAAGGCGGCGACGGGUAGCCGGCCUGGGAGGGUGGACGGCCACAGUGGGACGGAGAUACGGCCCAGACUACUACGGGAAGCAGCAGUGGGGAAUAUUGCACAAUGGGCGGAAGCCUGAUGCAGCGACGCCGCGUGGGGGAUGACGGCCUUCGGGUUGUAAACUCCUUUCGACCGCGAGGAAGCCACCUGGUUGGAAGGGUGGUGACGGUAGUGGUAGAAGAAGCACCGGCUAACUACGUG